rnacentral:tRNA from 1 species
CCGGGUGUCGUCCAGCUAGGUCCAGGACUCUCGCUUUGGGAGCGAGGAACGUGGGUUCGAAUCCCGCCACCCAGACC